rnacentral:rRNA from 1 species
UACGAAGGGGGCUAGCGUUGUUCGGAAUUACUGGGCGUAAAGCGCGCGUAGGCGGUUGUGUAAGUCAGAGGUGAAAUCCCAGAGCUUAACUCUGGAACGGCCUUUGAGACUGCAUAGCUAGAGAACGGAAGAGGUGAGUGGAAUUCCCAGUGUAGAGGUGAAAUUCGUAGAUAUUGGGAAGAACACCGGUGGCGAAGGCGGCUCACUGGUCCGUUUCUGACGCUGAUGCGCGAAAGCGUGGGGAGCAAACAGG